rnacentral:rRNA from 1 species
UACGUAGGUGACCAGCGUUGUCCGGAUUUACUGGGCGUAAAGAGCGCGCAGGCGGUCGUUCAAGUCGAGUGUGAAAGCCCCCCGGCUCAACUGGGGAGGGUCACUCGAUACUGAUCGACUGGAAGGCAGGAGAGGGUAGUGGAAUUCCCGGUGUAGUGGUGAAAUGCGUAGAUAUCGGGAGGAACACCAGUGGCGAAGGCGACUACCUGGCCUGUUCUUGACGCUGAGGCGCGAAAGCUAGGGGAGCAAACGGGG